rnacentral:rRNA from 1 species
GAAACGACUGCUAAGACUGGAUAGGAAGAUAAAAGGCAUCUUGUAUCUUUUAAAAGACCUAGUUAAUGGGUAUGCUUUAGGAGGGGCUUGCGCCAUAUUAGUUAGUUGGUAGGGUAAUGGCCUACCAAGACGAUGAUGUGUAGCUGGACUGAGAGGUUGAACAGCCACAUUGGGACUGAGACACGGCCCAAACUCCUACGGGAGGCAGCAGUAGGGAAUUUUCGGCAAUGGAGGAAACUCUGACCGAGCAACGCCGCGUGAAUGACGAAGUACUUCGGUAUGUAAAGUUCUUUUAUCGAGGAAGAAAAGUAAAUGGCGAACCAUUUGUUUGCCGGUACUUGAUGAAUAAGCCCCGGCUAAUUAUGUGCCAGCAGCCGCGGUAAGACAUAAGGGGCAAGUGUUAUCCGGAAUUAUUGGGCGUAAAGGGUGCGUAGGCGGUCUAGUAAGUCAGUGGUGUAAUGGCAACGCUUAACGUUGUCCGGCUAUUGAAACUGCUAAACUUGAGUUAGAUAGAGGCGAGUGGAAUUCCAUGUGUAGCGGUAAAAUGCGUAAAUAUAUGGAGGAACACCAGAGGCGUGGGCGGCUCGCUGGGUCUUAACUGACGCUGAGGCACGAAAGCGUGGAGAGCAAACAGGAUUAGAUACCCUGGUAGUCCACGCCGUAAACGAUGAGUACUAAGUGUCGGGUUAAACCGGUACUGAAGUUAACACAUUAAGUACUCCGCCUGAGUAGUACGUACGCAAGUAUGAAACUUAAAGGAAUUGACGGGACUCCGCACAAGCGGUGGAUCAUGUUGUUUAAUUCGAAGAUACCCGAAAAACCUUACCAGGUCUUGACAUGUUUUUGCAAAAUGAUAGUAAUAUCGUGGAGGUUACCAGAAACACAGGUGGUGCAUGGUUGUCGUCAGCUCGUGUCGUGAGAUGUUAGGUUAAGUCCUAAAACGAGCGAAACCCUUAUCGUUAGUUGCCAGCACGUUAUGGUGGGGACUUUAACGAGACUGCCAAUGAUAAAUUGGAGGAAGGUGAGGAUCACGUCAAAUCAGCAUGCCCCUUAUGACCUGGGCUACAAACGUGAUACAAUGGCUGUUACAAAGGGUAGCUGAAACGCAAGUUCUUGGCCAAUCCCCAAAAACAGUCCCAGUCCGGAUUGAAGUCUGCAACUCGACUUCAUGAAGUUGGAAUCGCUAGUAAUCGCGAAUCAGCAUGUCGCGGUGAAUACGUUCUCGGGGUUUGUACACACCCGCCCGUC